AGUGAACGCUGGCGGUAGGCCUAACACAUGCAAGUCGAACGGCAGCACAGUAAGAGCUUGCUCUUACGGGUGGCGAGUGGCGGACGGGUGAGGAAUACAUCGGAAUCUACUUUUUCGUGGGGGAUAACGUAGGGAAACUUACGCUAAUACCGCAUACGACCUACGGGUGAAAGCAGGGGAUCUUCGGACCUUGCGCGAUUGAAUGAGCCGAUGUCGGAUUAGCUAGUUGGCGGGGUAAAGGCCCACCAAGUCGACGAUCCGUAGCGGGUCUGAGAGGAUGGUCAGCCACACUGGAACUGAGACACGGUCCAGACUCCUACGGGAGGCAGCAGUGGGGAAUAUUGGACAAUGGGCGCAAGCCUGAUCCAGCCAUACCGCGUGGGUGAAGAAGGCCUUCGGGUUGUAAAGCCCUUUUGUUGGGAAAGAAAAGCAGCAGGUUAAUACCCCGCUGUUCUGACGGUACCCAAAGAAUAAGCACCGGCUAACUUCGUG
rnacentral:rRNA from 1 species